UACGUAGGUGGCGAGCGUUGUCCGGAUUUAUUGGGCGUAAAGCGCGCGCAGGCGGUGGCGUAAGUCUGCUGUGAAAUCUCCUGGCUCAACCGGGAGGGGGCGGCGGAGACUGCGGCACUGGAGGGACCUAGAGGCCGGUGGAAUUCCCGGUGUAGUGGUGAAAUGCGUAGAGAUCGGGAGGAACACCAGUGGCGAAGGCGGCCGGCUGGGGGUGCCCUGACGCUGAGGCGCGAAAGCGUGGGGAGCGAACCGGAUUAGAUACCCGGGUAGUCCACGCUGUAAACGAUGGCCACCAGAUGUGGGGGGUAUCGACCCCCUCCGCGUCGGCGCAAACGCACUAAGUGGCCCGCCUGGGGAGUACGGCCGCAAGGCUAAA
rnacentral:rRNA from 1 species